CCGAGGUGGUUGAGAGCUGUUUUGCUCCCCCUCCCCCUCCCCCUGCCACCUUUAAUGCUUAGUUCCUUGGUUUUGCAAAGUCCUGCCACCACGGGCUGCGCAGAGGGUUCUCUCGGACGCAGGAUGCACCGGCCAGUCGGUCGGGCCACAAGACCACAAGGCUGCGCAGGGGCGGGGGGCCUUGGACCAACUUUGACUUGGCCUUCUGCGACCUGUGCUGACGUCACGGCCCCAGGAGCCGUUCGGUCAGCGGAGGAGGUAACAGGUUCGAAUUUUGUAUCCUUUCAUAGUUACCCCCUUUCGGAACAGACGUCGAAGUCCUUGGGCGGGGUCGCCUUCGGAUUCUCUAGCUCGGACUCUCCUCCUGCCUUUGCGGCUAACAUUCUGUUACUCUCAUUUUUUUGUUUUCUACUUUUCUCUCUUCUUCAGAGUAAAGAAAAUUCGUUUAAAUGAAAAGCGAGGCCAUCUCCUCAUGUCCUCUCCACCCCCUACCGUGUGUUUUUGCAUUGCUUUUUAGAAGCCCCUGGGCCUCGGGAGUCGGGUCUACGCCGCCGACGCCGACGCCCACACCUGUUAGGCGCACGGAGCCUGCCUCGGUCCGCAGCCCCUCCCGCCAGGCGGACCCGCAGCUGGGGCAGGAGGAAGGCGAGAUCAACAGGAUCCCAUAGCAGAACCACGCGCCUGCGAGGGUCGGGAUGCGCCCUGUCCAAGAAGCCAACGGAGGAUCCGACCCGAGGAGACGUGACGGGGCGAUGAACCUCAGAAUCUGGCGGACAACUUCCAGAAAGUUUGCCAGGCCAGUCUCAAGGGAGCUGGGACCCGAAUCGUAGAGAAUAGCAACCUGGUUGUGGGGCUACCGAGAAAGUUCCUUCUCUGCCGCCGGAGAAAAGAUUUGGUAGGGAGUGAAGAGUCUGGAGAUACAGGUGGAGUGAGGGUGCGGUGGAGUCCUCCGCGUUAGGCGUUCAGGGUCCCCCACCCACCCACCCCUACACAAUUCCCCGGGGUCAGACGGCAGAGUAACUCUACCUAUGCCUGAGUGCUGGCCUGUUGGCGGGAGGGGCGGGAAGGCUCCGUGCGCUGCGGGAUUCCACGCGCCCGCCUGCUUCUAGAGCAUUUUUUGUUUUUGUUUUUUGGGGGGGCAGUUUUGCAGACAUUUUUUAAACCCCCAAACCAAGUAACCUACCCAGAUAUGCUUAGUUUUCUGGGAAGCGGUGGCCUAAAUACCCUUUCUCGCGCUUGAGGCCAAGAGUCCUGCACUUAGACGAACUCACCAGAGCCAACGGUUUCAGGAACCCGAGCUCUGGCGUGGACCUAGAUCGAACCUUCUUUUCUUAAGAGCAGGAGGUAUCGCACCCUGGAACCCAACCCAGGCCAAACUACAGGAUGUCUUCCCCUUUUCUGGUGCUCUAAGUUGGUGUCUUCACAGGUCUGAGACGCUCUCUUUUCACAAGCCGAGGUUGGUGGUGUUCACAUAAAGAAUGUAAUGGAGGGAAGCAGAAAAAAACCCGUUCUGGGCUGAGAUAACAACCGUGCCCACCCCGUAGGAUGCCUCUGCCCAGCUUCCCAGGCCACUCAUGCUGUUAGCAUCUGCUGAUAUGAGCAGCUGCCCAGAAGAGACUGGAAGUGAAAGCCCACCUGAGCCGCUAGCCUCAGGGAGAGCAUGCCCAGGUUAAGGCAACAGGAUGAGCCUCCCAACCACCACCACCACCACACACACACACACACACACACACACACACACACACACACACACACACACACACAAAACCUCAUUGCAGGAUUGGACACACCUUCAUGUACACAUGAAGUGGACGCCCACGGGGGGCGCGCUCACCUCUGACGUGGCCCUCUCACCCAAGGGACCCUUUCUAAAAGUUUGGCCUCACAGUAUGCUCUCAUAAGCACGUUUGCCUGCAGGCACAACCACUUGGUGAGUGAUCUCAGACUCAGACGCCUGCAGAGUCCCACGUCAUGAGCCUGCACCCUCAACAUUGAGCAUAUCUAUCAGAGCACGGAACCCCAGUCCUUCUCCAUCUGCUGGGAUAGAGACCUUCCCUCCAAAUGAAGUGGUUGACAGCGAGGGCCCAACUCACACUUUCAGAAGUGUCCUCAGCUCAGAAUCAUUUGCUGAGGAGUCUGCCGGGCCGGUGGGGAGGGGGCGUGUGCACCCAGCCAAGAAAUCCUCCACAUCCUCAUUCCAACCCCAUCCAUCACUCAGAGCCACUCCACAGAAGAGGCCCAGGGGGAAGGCCCAGGUGGGGACCUGGGGUGAUGUGGGAUUGGGCGCCUAGAAUGAGGGUUCUGUACCACUGACUAGGAGAAGGGCUGGGGGCAUCAGUGGGGGACCUGGGAAGCGUUGACUUUUGCGCUGUUUGCCCGCGGCCUCGGAGCAAGCAGACGCCAUCUGUUUGCCGGCUGCGACGCUUCCCAUUUAAUUACCCUCCCGGCAGCCUAAUAGAGAUGAUAUUAAACUAAAUCUUUCUGACAUUAAAAGUAAUUAUCCCCAAACCGGUGGCUCUGGGACGGAUUCGCCCCUCCCGCACAGACCCCUUUCCCACCGCUCUGGAUUCCGUUAGUUUGGCUGAAAUUCUUCACCUGGGAAGGGCUGGAGGAAGAAGGAGCCUUGGGAGACAGCGUCUCCGAAGGCAGGCAUGCCUGACUCGCGUUUUGCGCACCAGAGUGACUCCUGUUCCUGCGUGGACGCAGGCAUGGACGCCAGCACAGGAGACAUUUUCCUCCAGUCUUGCUGAUUAAGACGCUCUGUCGUGCGUGCCCAGCGCGAAUGGGGAGGAAGGGAGCCUGGUUUGCUGUCUCCUUUGAAAUGGCCCUUGAUCUGGCCGAGGCUAGGGCCAAGGAAAAGACACAACUUUGGAAACAGAACAAAACAACAAACCACACUGCCCACUGUGGCUCGGGGCUUUUGCGUGUUCUUCCAGCGCCUUGCACUUUUCCCUGCAGUGACUUAUGGAGUCCCACCUUCCUCUACUGGGUCCCAUUAUCUCACUUGCCAGGUGAGAAAGCGAUUCCAAGCUGGAAGGCGACACAGAGGAGCACAAAUUUCAAGCCUUGGAGUUGCCAUCCCUGGCCAGUGGUCUGCAAAGUUCUGGGUUCCACCCGAGGCUCUCUUCUGCACCUGGGGUCCAAUCGCUGGUGCUUAGCUUCUUUAGGGAAAGAAGCACUGGGCGCCUUACUCGAGGAGCAGGCGAAGGGCCAACUGAGGCAGAAGGAGGGACCGCACUGGUUGGUGCAGGAGGUGCCGACACCAAGUUCCAGCCAUAGCUCCAGCCACAGCCACUGGCCUCCUUGGACAAGCCCUGCAAGGGAGUAGGGUUGCACAAGGUUUCAAGGCUUUCUAUUUUGAAGUGUCUCCUGUGUUUGUCACUCUGCUAAACUGUAGGUGUGGCCUGCUUGCUUAGCACACAGUGCUAACGGGAAGUGCAAUAGCCCACUUCAGACCUGAGUGCCUCACGAAAUUUAGAGCGGUGUGGUAACUUACCUGGGACCGCCAUGCUGCACAACCUAAAGAAAGAAAUCCAGAUCCAGUGUUCAGUCUUAGACCUUUGUCUCCUCACCUCAAUUCUGAGCAUAAUGUGGGACUUAGGGUUUUUUUUUUUUGUUUUUUUUUUUUUGGGGGGGGGUUGAUUUCAUUAAAUUCGCCAGUUAUUCAAGGAAAACCGAGAAUCUGGCCACUCAUGUUGAGUCCCUAGUAUGUGCCAGGCUCUGAGGAUCAGAGAUUAACUACUUGUAAUAUACUCUUACAGAGUUCACCGGUCAACUAGGCACAAGGUCACCCACUGUUGACCUCACAGUGAGAACAGUGGGCAUGGAAGGGGCUUCCUUGAAGGGACCCCAGUGGAAGCUGCCAGGGCUUGUUCUCAAUAAACACCUUAAACAUUUUAGAAAAUUUAGCAGCAUAUAUUUGAUUUUUGUAAACUGUUUCAGUGUGUUCAUUUACAAAAAUAUGCAUUUUGUUUACAAAUAUAAGCAUUUUUCAUGUUAAUCAACACAAUCUUUAAAAGGAUUUAAAAAUAAUCAGUUAUAUGGAUGUACCUUAUUUUGCCAAUUUUUUUUAAUAGUUAGUCUCCAGUUUUUGCUCUGAUAACAUUGCUACCAUGAGCAGCCUUUGUGAAUGUGACCAAUCAUUUCCUUAGGAAAACUUACUAGAAAUUCGAACAAGUCAUCAGAGGCUUUUCCGGGCAUUUGAUAGCUCCCUGUCAAACAGCCCUCAGAAAAGGCUGUGACAGGCAAGGCACUCAAGAUGCAUCUUGGGGUCUUUUUAAUCUUUGCUAAUUCAAGCAAGAAAAGCAGCAUCUCGGAGGCACUGCAAUUUACAUUUCCUUAGUUUUUUCUUUAUGUCACAGCCACUGCUGUCCGUUUUUUAAAUAAUAUGCAUACAUCCUUUAAGAACUUAGAACCUCUCUGUAGGUCAGUACACAGUCAAGGCAGCAGCACCCUCCUUUCUGUAAAACGGGCUACACUUCUCCAUCCUUUGGGUUACUGCUUUUGCUAUUACUAUCCUGGGGUUUUAAGCUUUUUUUUUUUUUUUUUUUUAAAGUAGCCAUACUUGUUAAUUUCCACUAUAAAUGGCAUAUAUUUACAGUAUCUUAAGAUUUUCCAGUUUUAAACUUCUAAAAUAAUUUACCUCCAUUUUUAUAUUUAUUUAGCUAGUAAAUACAUUUAUUAGCUUUUCAUUUUCUAUCUUUAUAUAGUUAGUUCAGUUGAAAAUAAUUUUUAUGGAAAGUGUGAAGUUUGUAACAACUCUUCCCCAAAUAAUCAGCUGGUUAUCAGAGGACUAUUGCAUGACCUGCCCAUCCCUCCACUGACCACAUACUGAAAUCUCAGAUGACCUUUGUUGGCUUCAGUACGUGUUUUCCCAGCCUCAGUGUUCUAACUCUUGUACUUGUGUAAUAUUUCGGAGGGUGGGUCACUCUACUGAUUCCUGAUUCUUCUUUUUCAAACAUCUCAAAUUUUUUUCCAAAACACAGUAAUCUGAAUCAACAUUUUAUCAAUUUCAAAUCUUGUUAAAAAUAAAAUAGUAAUUGGA